CUCUUAUAAUUCUAAGGAGCAACCAGAAGGUGUAAACACAGAGAAAGUAGCUGUGUCCCAUAAUAUGAUCCGCUUCCUUCAAAGUUCACUUUAAAAACAAUGUGAUGAUCAGCAGUCUUCAU